UAUAUAUUUAUAUUUUUUUCUUCAUCCUGAAUUGACAGUCAAUUACAUAUAUUCAUCUAUGGUGGAACAUAAUAAAGCAAGCGAUAUAAAUAAGCAUAAUCAAGUACUGUAUAGCUUAAAACUAUCCAGCAAUUUUAAAGAAGGGUGGAGAACGGAAGUAAACAUGAUUAAGGCGAAGUGAGGGACAAUUGACAUAACAAUGUCAGAAGUUUUAUCAUCUGGACAACUUAGAGAAAUCUACAACGCUACUGGGGGCCCAUGGGGUGGAAAUUAUAUCAAUGACCAGAUAAUAAAAACCCUGAAAGUAGUUAUCGGUUGGGAGGAAAUGAGAAGGUUCCAAGCAGAGGAUUAUGAUGACUACCUUGACAUAUUGAGACAAGUUGAACAAAUUAAACGUGGUGUGGACCACGACUCUGAAUUGUCAAUAUUAAUACCAAGAGCACUUUUGACGAACAUAAACGUUCCCGAUUCACUCAAGCAGGACGUGCGAAUAGAAAAGAAAUGUAUUACGUUAUCGACAGCAUUAAUACAAACAAUAUUUUCUUCGUCGGUUGAUUCAAUGAUCAAACAUGUUGAAAAGCUACUUAAGAAAGAAGAAGUAUGAAACGUGUCAACUAUUCUGUUGGUAGGGGGAUAUUCAGCAUCCAACGUUAUUCAACGUGCUUUUCGGGAGAAGUUUGAGAAGAAAUAUAAGAUAAUUAUCCCAUUGACCCCAGAUAUGAUAGUUUUAAAGGGAGCAGUUAUUGGAGGCCAUCGCGUCGAGGCUAUCGUCGGACGGAUGGCAAAGUAUCACUAUGGUCUAGGCUUAAGUACAGCAGCAGUCUCUGGUCAAAGUAUAUUAAUAACAGAAAAUGAGGAAAAAAGAUUUUUCUCGUUAAUCGAGAAAGGCCAAAAGAUCAAAGUUGGUGAUGUAAUAACACAAUACGAAAUUGUCUUAAAAGCGAAUUCAAGAUGGGCCAACCUUGAAAUGUAUACCACCAAAGAAGAUAAACCAAGGACAAUCGUUGAUAAUGAACAUUUCACAAAAAUUGGAAGCAUCCGUGUUAUACUUCCACAAUUCAGAAAAGAAAUCAAAUUGAGAAUGGAAAUUGGGAAUGUGUCAAAGAGACAACAACCCGACCAUAGAACAGACAACAGCAGAAGGUCACCAACAGGUCUUCAAUGCAGCGAGAAAUUCCCGCACCCGGAGGCGUCCUUCAGCUGGCCCCUAAACAAAUAUAUAUACUAGUUCAGUGAUAAUGAACGCCAUACUAAACUCCAAAUUGUACACAAGAAACUAAAAUUAAAAAUAAUACAAGACUAAUAAAGGCUAGAGGCUCCUGACUUGGGACAGGCGCAAAAAUGCGGCGGGGUUAAACAUGUUUAUGAGAUCUCAACCCUCCUCCUAUACCUCUAGCCAAUGUAGAAAAGUAAACGCAUAACAAUACGCAUAAGUAUACUUAUCCUGACAAUAUCAUAUGGCGAAACAGAAUUCAAAGUAGUUGCUACAGAUAAAAAUACAGGUCGCUGCUUCAUUGGUAAUUGCCGGUUUUUAGACAAGGAUAUCAAGCCAAAAUCUGAUUGAAAUUAAAAUUUCAAUCAAAUUAACAACGUGUGAAGGUAUAACCCUGUUGGUUUUGUUUUAAAUAUGUCAUUAAGCUUAGUAUGUAGUUUAUUCAUACCAUAGAUUAAACAUUAAUUGGCAAUGUUUAGAUUUUGUUCUCAUAUAUGUAUGCAGUAGCAUAACAUUGAGGAUACGUAUUUGGGAAAUAUACGGUUGAAUAUUACUAAGAAACAAAGGUAUGAACAAUUCAAACACAGUUGACCUUAUUAAAAUAUGGUUUUCUUUUUUGGUCCCUUUUGUUCACCGUAUAGCUCCUCUGACGUUUCCACAUAUUUAUACAUCCCUGGCUUUCAAAUGUUGGCAUUUGAGUGUUCCUGAUGAAGGCAAAUUCAGACAAGAGCUUCGAAUACUAUUUAUUAAGUGUUAUCUUCAUCUACUAGCAUUUGGUCGAUAGCAUAGCUUGUGAACUGUUAGUUCCCACUGAUAUCAACAUCCCAGUAGUCAGUGCUUCAGUACUGACAUAAUUAAUAAAAAAAAUCUAAAAUUCUCCGUUGAUAAAUUUCACAACUACUAAGAAACUAGAAGAGAGGCGCUAGAUACCAAAGGGACAUUCAAACUUGAAAAUAAACUGACAAUGCCGUGACACAAAAAGAAAAAGA